AUUUUAUCUAUCUAGAAAUUGAAGGUGAAAGGGAAGUAAGAGGGCGGAGAAAGGGAGAUAGGAGGUAAGAAUGCAUCAUAGCCACUCAACUCGAUUCGGACUCACAUACAAUCGUUGAUCUAACCCACAUUCGCGACUAGGUUCACUACCACAACCGGCUUUAUCACACCGAAUAGAAUUUUCUGUCUUUCUAGAGCUAAAUGAAAAGAGAGAAACUCACUAUAAAUAGUAGCUAAGGGUUAGUAGCCAUUGACAAACCAAGAAGUUUGGGUGAAAUCCAUCAAGUGUCCCCUAGAGGUUCCCCAAACACUUCAUUGGGAACUCUCUUUUCCAAGGAAGAGGUGAUCAACACAAAUUCCUACUGAAGUGUUUGGGGGAACUCCUGGGCUCAUUUGAUACUACUAAGGGAAUAUUUCACAGCUAUGAUAGAGGUGGUGGCAAUGAUCUUAUUGAUCUCUUAAGCUUUGUUUUCCCAUCUUAGCCAGAUGAUCUGCUAUUUUUAUGUGGGGCCGAUACUCACUCUUUCACAAUUGUAUAGGGGGUGCUGGAUGAAUUCUAGCUUUUCUCUGGACUAAAACCCAACUUGCUGAAGAGAGCCAUAUAUUAUACAAGGGUUAAUGAAGGGUUGCAGAAUUUGGUAGCGUUGUUCUCCGUCUUAUAGGUGGUCAUCUUCCAGUGAAGUAUUUGGGAGUGCCACUGAUCUCCUCAAGACUAGCCUAUUGUGACUGUAUCCAAUUAAAAGACAGAAUUCUUCGAACUUCAAAGGAUCAACCCUUGGACCAAUACACUUCUAUCCUAUGGUGGUAGGCCGAGUUAAUUCAAUCUGUCUCACAAAGCAUGCAAGUCUAUUGGUGCUCCCAUAGGGUGAUGGGAGCAUGCAAUUAAGCCUUUGAGCUGAAUGUAAUAUUUGGGUUUUUUAGACCCAUAGGGAGAUGGGCUUUGUCCCAAAGGGUGUCCUUGAUUGGCUACUUGCCAAUUCUAGGUUUAGAUUUAUUGGGCAGAAGAUUACUCAUUGAGCAUGAUGUUGUUUCCUUGCUCUUAUUAGUCUUGUAACAAUUUCAAAAUUAAUGAAAUUUUUUUUGUCAUUCAAAAU